GAUGAACGCUGGCGGCGUGCCUAAUACAUGCAAGUCGAGCGAACAGAUGAUGAGCUUGCUCCUCUGACGUUAGCGGCGGACGGGUGAGUAACACGUGGAUAACCUACCUAUAAGACUGGGAUAACUUCGGGAAACCGGAGCUAAUACCGGAUAAUAUAUUGAACCGCAUGGUUCAAUAGUGAAAGACGGUUUUGCUGUCACUUAUAGAUGGAUCCGCGCCGCAUUAGCUAGUUGGUAAGGUAACGGCUUACCAAGGCAACGAUGCGUAGCCGACCUGAGAGGGUGAUCGGCCACACUGGAACUGAGACACGGUCCAGACUCCUACGGGAGGCAGCAGUAGGGAAUCUUCCGCAAUGGGCGAAAGCCUGACCGAGCAACGCCGCGUGAGUGAUGAAGGUCUUCGGAUCGUAAAACUCUGUUAUUAGGGAAGAACAAAUGUGUAAGUAACUAUGCACGUCUUGACGGUACCUAAUCAGAAAGCAACGGCUAACUACGUG
rnacentral:rRNA from 1 species